UACAGGGGGGGCAAGCGUUGUUCGGAAUUACUGGGCGUAAAGGGCUCGUAGGUGGCCAACUAAGUCAGACGUGAAAUCCCUCAGCUUAACUGGGGAACUGCGUCUGAUACUGGAUGGCUUGAGUUUGGGAGAGGGAUGCGGAAUUCCAGGUGUAGCGGUGAAAUGCGUAGAUAUCGGGAAGAACACCCGUGGCGAAGGCGGCACUCUGGGACGGUACUGACGCUGAGACGCGAAAGCGUGGGGAGCGAACAGG
rnacentral:rRNA from 1 species